GUACCUAAACAAAUUUAAAAAGUUAAGCUUUUGAAUAAAUAUUAAAGAUAUUAUUCCCUUGUAGUGUAGUUUAAUAGCUAUCUACAUAAUAACUUAACAUUAAGUAUGUUAGUUUAUAUUUUAUAGUAUGACGCUGACAAUUUUGCUAAUAGUUGAAAAUGUUAGUAUUAGUAAUAUUAGUAUAUGUGCUAAAGGAACUCGGCAAAAAACCACUCAACUGUUUAUCAAAAACAUAGCUAUAUGAAUUAGUAUAUAGUUAUUUCUGCUCAAUGACUUAAAUAGCCGCAGUACUCUGACUGUGCAAAGGUAGCAUAAUCAGUUGGCUUUUAAUUAGAGUCUGGUAUGAACGAAAAUAUGGGUAGUAACUGUCUUAGCACAUUUUUUUGAAUUUGUUAAACAAGUGCAAAUACUUGUAACUUAACAAUAGACGAGAAGACCCUAGAAACUUAGACAUGUUUUUGUUGGGGCGACAGAAUUACAUUUAACUAAUCUUUUAAUACAUGACGCGAUGCUGAAAGAGUAAGUUACUCUAGGGAUAACAGCAUAAUUUCAUUAGUUUGUGACCUCGAUGUUGGACUAGGUACUAUACCCUUAAGGCAAGGAUAUAUUGUGCUCUGUUCGAGCAAAAUUACCUACAU
rnacentral:rRNA from 1 species